GAUGAACGCUAGCGACAGGCUUUAACACAUGCAAGUCGAGGGGCGAGCACGGUGUAGCAAUACACUGGUGGCGACCGGCGCACGGGUGAGUAAACACGUGUGCAACCAACCCCGUACCGGGAGGAUAACCGCGGAAACGUGGACUAACAUCCCAUGAUACUCGAGAGCCGCAUGGCUCUAGAUUUAAAAUUACCGGUGGUACGGGACGGGCACGCGCGACAUUAGGUAGUUGGCGGGGUAAGGGCCCACCAAGCCGACGAUGUCUAGGGGUUCUGAGAGGAAGGUCCCCCACCACUGGAACUGAGACACGGUCCAGACUCCUACGGGAGGCAGCAGUGAGGAAUAUUGGUCAAUGGGCGAGAGCCUGAACCAGCCAAAGUCGCGUGAGGGAAGAAUGGUCUAUGGCCUGUAAACCUCUUUUGUCAGGGAAGAAUAAGGAUGACGAGUCAUUCGAUGCCAGUACCUGACGAAUAAGCAUCGGCUAACUCCGUGCCAGCAGCCGCCG
rnacentral:rRNA from 1 species